rnacentral:rRNA from 1 species
AGAGUUUGAUCAUGGCUCAGGACGAACGCUGGCGGCGUGCCUAACACAUGCAAGUCGAACGGAGAUAUCAAUGAAGCUUGCGAUUUGAUAUCUUAGUGGCGGACGGGGUGAGUAACGCGUGGGUAAUCUGCCCAUAAGUGGGGAACAACAGUUGGAAACGACUGCUAAUACCGCAUACCUUGAGCAGUCAAGAAAGGUGGCCUCUGAAUAUGCUGCCGCUUAUGGAUGAGCCCGCGUCUGAUUAGCUAGUUGGUGGGGUAAAGGCCUACCAAGGCAACGAUCAGUAGCCGGCCUGAGAGGGUGAACGGCCACACUGGGACUGAGACACGGCCCAGACUCCUACGGGAGGCAGCAGUGGGGAAUAUUGCGCAAUGGGGGAAACCCUGACGCAGCGACGCCGCGUGAGCGAUGAAGGCCUUAGGGUUGUAAAGCUCUGUUUUAAGGGACGAAUGUCUAGGGGAGUAAUAUGCCCUUAGAAUGACGGUACCUUAAGAGGAAGCCCCGGCUAACUACGUGCCAGCAGCCGCGGUAAGACGUAGGGGGCGAGCGUUGUCCGGAAUUACUGGGCGUAAAGAGCACGUAGGCGGGAACUUAAGUCAGGUGUGAAAGACCGGGGCUCAACUCCGGGGUGGCACUUGAAACUGGGUUUCUUGAGGGCAGGAGAGGAAAGCAGAAUUCCUGGUGUAGCGGUGAAAUGCGUAGAAAUCAGGAGGAAUACCAGUGGCGAAGGCGGCUUUCUGGACUGACCCUGACGCUGAGGUGCGAAAGCGUGGGUAGCAAACAGGAUUAGAUACCCUGGUAGUCCACGCCGUAAACGAUGGAUACUAGGUGUGGGAGGUAUCGACCCCUUCCGUGCCGCAGCUAACGCAAUAAGUAUCCCGCCUGGGGAGUACGGUCGCAAGGCUGAAACUCAAAUGAAUUGACGG